UUCGGUCAUUAUCGAAGCCAGUGGUAUUAUAUUAAUUAAUUUCACUGGUCAAAAUAUGACCAACAUAAACGGUUGCUUGACGGUCGCUGCUUUAAUUCUAUUAAUGUGUAAACCAGCAUCACUGAAGUACCCUACAAUU
rfam:Ciona intestinalis ciona0040, whole genome shotgun sequence.